AACGAACGCUGGCGGCAUGCCUAACACAUGCAAGUCGAACGAGAUCGUGACUUCGGUUGCGGUCUAGUGGCGCACGGGUGCGUAACGCGUGGGAAUCUACCCCUUGGUUCGGAAUAACAGUGAGAAAUUACUGCUAAUACCGGAUAAUGUCGCAAGACCAAAGAUUCAUCGCCGAGGGAUGAGCCCGCGUAAGAUUAGCUAGUUGGUGGGGUAAAGGCCUACCAAGGCGACGAUCUUUAGCUGGUCUGAGAGGAUGAUCAGCCACACUGGGACUGAGACACGGCCCAGACUCCUACGGGAGGCAGCAGUGGGGAAUAUUGGACAAUGGGCGCAAGCCUGAUCCAGCCAUGCCGCGUGAGUGAUGAAGGCCUUAGGG
rnacentral:rRNA from 1 species